rnacentral:lncRNA from 1 species
CUGCACACUGCCCGAGCGGCGUCAGGCGCAGCCAUUUUUCAGGAGGAACUCUUGGUCUGAAGGGCCUGUUUGAGGCCACUGCAUGGAACACCCUUGAGCAAGUGAAACUAGAUUAAUCACAAAGGACAAGAAGGCUGUCUCCAUAGCAGUGUCCAAAGAGCACCUUGGUAUGUGUGGGAGUGUGAUCCAGCCAAGCCCUUUGGAGGCACAGGGAGGCUUGAGAGGAACUGCUGUUACCUGCUGAAUCACCC